CUGAAGAGGAGGAAUGGUGGAGGCAAAUACUACCAUCCUGGGCAGCAGGAAGAAGAUGUGAACACACAGCCUGCUCUAGCACUUCCUGACUUCUGGCCUGAACCACUGCAGGCAUGUGGCUGCAUUUCCUGAAUCAAAGGUCCAAGAGGAGAACAAGUUCCAUGCAGCUGUUGCUCUCCCCUACAGCCAUGUGGGCAAAUGCUAAGCACUGACAAAAUCAGGAGCAGAAAAUGUGCUACAUCCUGUGAGGGGCUGCAAUAAAUUCUUCCUGAUGAAGAAUUUGCAGCCGUAAUGUUGGAUCUAAUGUGCAGGGUGAUAUUUUAUUGAUUCACUACCCCACACCUAUUAGUUUUGUACAAUGAAUAACAUUAUACAAUCGUCACAAGAUUGGUUGUCUAUGUCUGAAUCCUGGAUUUAAAAAAAAUGAUUCCACUAAAGUUAAAAAAAAAAAAAUGUUCCACUCUAUA